rnacentral:rRNA from 1 species
GCCUAAUACAUGCAAGUCGAGCGAAUGGAUUGAGAGCUUGCUCUCAAGAAGUUAGCGGCGGACGGGUGAGUAACACGUGGGUAACCUGCCCAUAAGACUGGGAUAACUCCGGGAAACCGGGGCUAAUACCGGAUAACAUUUUGAACUGCAUGGUUCGAAAUUGAAAGGCGGCUUCGGCUGUCACUUAUGGAUGGACCCGCGUCGCAUUAGCUAGUUGGUGAGGUAACGGCUCACCAAGGCAACGAUGCGUAGCCGACCUGAGAGGGUGAUCGGCCACACUGGGACUGAGACACGGCCCAGACUCCUACGGGAGGCAGCAGUAGGGAAUCUUCCGCAAUGGACGAAAGUCUGACGGAGCAACGCCGCGUGAGUGAUGAAGGCUUUCGGGUCGUAAAACUCUGUUGUUAGGGAAGAACAAGUGCUAGUUGAAUAAGCUGGCACCUUGACGGUACCUAACCAGAAAGCCACGGCUAACUACGUGCCAGCAGCCGCGGUAAUACGUAGGUGGCAAGCGUUAUCCGGAAUUAUUGGGCGUAAAGCGCGCGCAGGUGGUUUCUUAAGUCUGAUGUGAAAGCCCACGGCUCAACCGUGGAGGGUCA